GGUUUUGUGGUGUAGUUGGUUAUCACGUCUUCCUAACACGGAGAAGGCCCCCAGUUCGAACCUGGCCGAAACCA